UACGUAGGGAGCAAGCGUUGUCCGGAAUCAUUGGGCGUAAAGCGCGCGUAGGUGGCUUCGUAAGUCCGUUGUGAAAGUCAAAGGCUCAACCUUUGAAAGCCGAUGGAUACUGUGAAGCUAGAGUACGGAAGAGGCGAGUGGAAUUCCUGGUGUAGCGGUGGAAUGCGCAGAUAUCAGGAGGAACACCAAUAGCGAAGGCAGCUCGCUGGGACGUUACUGACACUGAGGUGCGAAAGCGUGGGGAGCGAACAGG
rnacentral:rRNA from 1 species